ensembl:snoRNA SNORA71 Small nucleolar RNA SNORA71
UCCUGCAUCGAAAGGUGGCCUGGGCGUGCCGUCGUCCAGGUCAUUGGUUUUACUGCAGGUACAGGAAGCUGCCGGCUUUUCCCGUGUUUGCAGGACGUUCACUUCCUGUCAGACCCUGUUGCUCGCAGACA